rnacentral:ncRNA from 1 species
AAAAUCAACUACUACUUAAUAUACACAUGCAAGUCUCCGCACCCCUGUGAAAACGCCCUUAAAUUUCCCACACCGAAACAAGGAGCUGGUAUCAGGCUCAAUUUUUAGCCCAAAACACCUAGUAAUGCCACACCCACAAGGGAACUCAGCAGUGAUUAACAUUGAGUAUAAGCGACAGCUUGACUCAGUUAAAGUAAAAAGAGCCGGCAAAUCUGGUGCCAGCCGCCGCGGUUACACCACGUGGCUCAAAUUGAUUUUUUUCGGCGUAAAGAGUGAUUAAAGUUACUAUAAUAACUAUAGUUAUAUUAAAACUAAGCUGUGAUAUGCUUGUUUUUAAGAAACCCAAAAACGAAAGUUACUAUAUUUCUAACAACUUGAAUCCACGACAGCUAGAGCACAAACUGGGAUUAGAUACCCCAGUAUGUCUAGCCGNAAACUUUUAAUUACACCCACUUCUGCCAGGGAACUACGAGCAAAGCUUAAAACCCAAAGGACUUGACGGUACCCCACAUCCGCCUAGAGGAGCCUGUCCUAUAAUCGAUAAUCCCCGUUUAACCUCACCAUUUUUAGCCUCUCAGCCUGUAUACCUCCGUCGCCAGCUUACCUCGUGAGCGAUUUUAUAGUGAGCUUAAUGUCUUCACACCAAUACGUCAGGUCAAGGUGCAGCAAAUAAAAUGGGAAGAGAUGGGCUACACUCUCUAACUUAGAGCACACGAAAGACUACCCAUGAAACCUAGUCAGAAGGUGGAUUUAGCAGUAAAAAGAGACCAUAAUGCUCUUUUUAACACGGCACUGGGGUGUGUACACACCGCCCGUCACCCUCUUCAAAGCUACAAACUAGUAUCUAACACAACAUAGCCAACCAGAAGAGGCAAGUCGUAACAUGGUAAGUAUACCGGAAGGUGUGCUUGGAAACAAAAUGUAGCUU